AGUCGAGAAUCUUCGGCAAUGGACGAAAGUCUGACCGAGCGACGCCGCGUGCGGGAUGAAGGCCUUCGGGUUGUAAACCGCUGUCGUAGGGGAACAAGUGUACGGGGGUUCUCCCCUGUAUUUGAGUGAUCCUAGGAGGAAGGAGAGGCUAAGCUCGUGCCAGCAGCCGCGGUAAGACGAGCUCUCCAAACGUUAUUCGGUAUCACUGGGCUUAAAGAGUUCGUAGGCGGUCUGGUAGGUGAGGUGUGAAAUCCCCCGGCUCAACCGGGGAACUGCGCUUCAAACCGCCGGACUUGAGGGAUACAGAGGUAGGCGGAACAGAUGGUGGAGCGGUGAAAUGCGUUGAUAUCAUCUGGAACACCGGUGGCGAAAGCGGCCUACUGGGUAUUUUCUGACGCUGAGGAACGAAAGCUAGGGUAGCGAA
rnacentral:rRNA from 1 species